AUAUCAAUAAGCGGAGGAAAAGAAACCAACAGGGAUUGCCCUAGUAACGGCGAGUGAAGCGGCAACAGCUCAAAUUUGAAAUCUGGCUUCGGCCCGAGUUGUAAUUUGUAGAGGAUGCUUUUGGUGAGGUGCUUUCUGAGUUCCCUGGAACGGGACGCCACAGAGGGUGAGAGCCCCGUAUAGUUGGACACCUAGCCUUUGUAUAGCACCUUCGACGAGUCGAGUAGUUUGGGAAUGCUGCUCAAAAUGGGAGGUAAAUGCCUUCUAAAGCUAAAUACUGGCCAGAGACCGAUAGCGCACAAGUA
rnacentral:rRNA from 1 species